AAAUUCCAGCGCUGCUCUCCACUGAGAUAGGUAAAAUAUCUUAUCGGAAAACACGAGUAUAUCUACUUAUCUAAAAAUUAAUUUUUUUAACGGUAAGUAAAAAAACUAAACAGUUGAUACUGUUUGCACAGCCCACAUGUAUACAACUUCUGUAAGUAGCUGUAGAUAUAGUUGGGAAUGUACGGAUGGUACAGAAUAUUUUAGUUUAUAUACGUGAUGCAACGAUAAAUCAUGGCAAACAAAAACCGAUCCUGAGCGGAGUAGUAUUUCUUCUCUCGUUUCCAAGAUAACGAAGAAAUCAAC